CAUAAUUUUUAAAAUCAUAAACAUAACUUUUAAAGUUUAAUUUUAAUAUUUUAAUUUUUAUGUUAUACAUUAAAAAACUUGAUUAAAUUUUAUAUUAUCUAACACAUAAAUUAAAUAGAACUAUAAAUCAAAAUUUAAUAUAACUUUACCAAACAUAAAAAAUCAAUUAACAAAAAAAUUGGCAUUGACCAAUAAUAUCAAAGUACUCAGAUCACAAUCUCCACCAUUGGAUUAGAUUAAUCCAACAGACCAGAUCUAAUCCCUCAUUAUCUUUCUCUUUCCUCUCCACUCUUUUCUUCUACGACAUUCAUUCUCUACGCUUCUUCAUCUUCUUCUUUCUUUUCUCUCAUCUCUUUGGUUCAUUUUUAUCUCUGCACAUCUCCUCUUUCAAUUUCAUCUCCUCUUCACCACCACACCGUCGGCCUGCACGUUUGUCUCCACCGCCCUCUUUUGAUUCCGUCAUGUCUUCGCCCCCAUCACCACCGUCACGCUCUCACCAGCACCAUAUCCAGAAGAUGAUGAAACAGAAAGAACAAGUGGUGGUGUUACACAGCGGCAUCGCCGGUUAAGCGUGGUGUGGCAGUGGUGCAAAAGCCGGUGGUUUGUUGGUGGUUCGUGGACGGUGGCUGAAUUGUUCUGAAGGUGGCGAUGGUGGCUAAAGCUUUGUGAAGAUGGAGGAUGGUGGCUGAAGCGUAGAUUUAGGUUUAGUUAACUGGUUUAAUUAGGUUAACAUUAAUUAGUUGGUUUAGUUAGGGUUAGAGUAAUAAUUUAUGUAUUAUUGGUUUAGUGUUGUAAACCAAAAUUUAUUGUAAACCGAAUUUAAUUUAUAAAAUAAAAUUUAUUUUAUUUCUAA